rnacentral:rRNA from 1 species
GAUGAACGCUGGCGGCGUGCCUAAUACAUGCAAGUCGAGCGAACAGUCGAGGAGCUUGCUCCUCUGACGUUAGCGGCGGACGGGUGAGUAACACGUGGAUAACCUACCUAUAAGACUGGGAUAACUUCGGGAAACCGGAGCUAAUACCGGAUAAUAUAUUGAACCGCAUGGUUCAAUAGUGAAAGACGGUUUUGCUGUCACUUAUAGAUGGAUCCGCGCCGCAUUAGCUAGUUGGUAAGGUAACGGCUUACCAAGGCAACGAUGCGUAGCCAACCUGAGAGGGUGAUCGGCCACACUGGAACUGAGACACGGUCCAGACUCCUACGGGAGGCAGCAGUAGGGAAUCUUCCGCAAUGGGCGAAAGCCUGACGGAGCAACGCCGCGUGAGUGAUGAAGGUCUUCGGAUCGUAAAACUCUGUUAUUAGGGAAGAACAAAUGUGUAAGUAACGAUGCACGUCUGGACGGUACCUAAUCAGAAAGCCACGGCUAACUACGU